AUAGAAUACAUUUAAACAAGGAGCUUUUAUCAGUAGGAGAGAGUACGGAUUAGUUUCCAUUGUUCGUAUGUUCGUAGCGGGCGACAAAAUUUUAUUAACACCCACGUGUCAAAAACCCGCAUCUGCAUACAUUUCACCCACGCAAGCGUUUGUUUUCCCUUUGUUUUGUGGUCAUUUUCAUGGUGGGGCGGCCUGGGGAUACAAACAUUGUGUGUAGCGAUCUGAUUUUUGCGAUUUUGUUGACAAUGUUGAACAGAAGAGUAACUUCGGAAUAUAUACAGCGGCGGCAAUAUUCUCUCUGACUGAGGGUGAAAUUUCAAAGUCAUACGGCGACCGGACAGCACCGCCGCUCGGGUACGGGCUAAGCCUAAAGGCAAAAUUGUCUGGGGCAAAGUCUACGAAAAAAAACUGGUAAUAUUCCUACAAUUAAUGAUGACUGUGAAAAACCUGACUCAAUGAUCAC